GUGAGCAAGUGAGCGUGGGAAACAGAGGGAAUGAACACUGGAACCAGCUGGUCACUCCUCUCUGGUGGGAGCAGGCUCUGUGCAGGCCUGUGGCAGCAUCCAAACCCCUGUCCUCUCGGCACUCAGGUUCUUGUUUGGUGUUCGGGAAGAAUCAGCACAUUGGAGAAAAGAGAGGAGGAAGAAGGAGUUGGGCAGAGACUCUCACCCCUCUGCAAACCAAGGCUCUGAGGCUGGGACCUACUACUCCUUCUGCUAGGAGGUGAGGAUGUGCAAUGGAAGUGAAUUAAAAUGGAUUGGACAAGACUUUGAAAAAAAAAAAACCCUGUGUCAUCCAAGAGAUGGAAUCAGAAUAGGAUCCCUAAGGGACUAGACGUUUAUGAGAAAAAUAAAGCAAUUUCAUGUUUGUUUCACUUGUUCCGUAAAGUAGUUGGCCACACAUGUCUAGGAUGAAUUACACCAAACCAAUCUAGCUUUUAUUUUUUAAUUCAAGACUUCUACACUCACCAUAGAUGGAUAAUUUCUCUAUGCUGAUAAAGCCUGUUAUAUGUUUCUUGCCAUGGUGUCUUUUUAGAAUGCAUAGAGAAAGAGGGAUAUAGGAUCUGAGCUCAAAGAGGACCCCAAAGGAUGUGGGAAAAAUGAAACGCUCAUACACUGUUGGUGAGAAUGGAAGUUAGUACAACCUCUGUGGAAAAUUGGAGAGUUCUCAAAGAAGGAAAAAUAGAACUACCCUUGGAUCUGGCAAUCCUACUACUGGUUGUUAUAUACCUGAAGGAAAAUAAAUCAUUAUAUAAAAAAGACACCUGGACUGUCAGCUGUAGCAGUAUUCACAAUAGCGAAGUCCUGGAAUCAACCCAAGUGCCCAUCACCAGAUGAUUGGAUUAAAAAGUGGUACAUACAUACAUCAUGGAAUACAACUCAGCCAUAAAAAAGAAUGCAAUAUUGUCUUUUGCAGCAACAUGGAUAGAACUGGGGGCCAUUAUCCUUAGUGAAAUGGCCCAGAAACAGAAAAUCCAAAACUUCACUUUCUUACUUAUAUGUAGGUACCCCCAGACAUACAGAGGGAAAUAAUAGACACUGGAGACUCCAAAUGGUGGGCAGGUGGGAGGGGUGAGGGAUCACCUCUUGGGUUCAUUGUACACUAUU
rnacentral:lncRNA from 1 species